rnacentral:rRNA from 1 species
UNUGACUUGAGUGCAGAAGGGGAGAGUGGAAUUCCAUGUGUAGCGGUGAAAUGCGUAGAUAUAUGGAGGAACACCAGUGGCGAAAGCGGCUCUCUGGUCUGUCACUGACGCUGAGGCUCGAAAGCGUGGGUAGCGAACAGGAUUAGAUACCCUGGUAGUCCACGCCGUAAACGAUGAGUGCUAGGUGUUAGGCCCUUUCCGGGGCUUAGUGCCGGAGCUAACGCAAUAAGCACUCCGCCUGGGGAGUACGACCGCAAGGUUGUAACUCAAAGGAAUUGACGGGGGCCCGCACAAGCGGUGGAGCAUGUGGUUUAAUUCGAAGCAACGCGAAGAACCUUACCAGGUCUUGACAUCCCGAUGCUAUUCUUAGAGAUAGGAAGUUACUUCGGUACAUCGGAGACAGGUGGUGCAUGGUUGUCGUCAGCUCGUGUCGUGAGAUGUUGGGUUAAGUCCCGCAACGAGCGCAACCCUUAUUGUUAGUUGCCAUCAUUAAGUUGGGCACUCUAGCGAGACUGCCGGUAAUAAACCGGAGGAAGGUGGGGAUGACGUCAAAUCAUCAUGCCCCUUAUGACCUGGGCUACACACGUGCUACAAUGGUCGGUACAACGAGUUGCGAGCCGGUGACGGCAAGCUAAUCUCUGAAAGCCGAUCUCAGUUCGGAUUGGAGGCUGCAACUCGCCUCCANGAAGUCGGAAUCGCUAGUAAUCGCGGAUCAGCACGCCGCGGUGAAUACGUUCCCGGGCCUNGU